AUGAAUUCAUUUCUGUCUUUUCCCAUCUCUUUGUGUAGUGCCCGGAAGGCAGUGGAUGAGGAAGAGGAAGCAGUUGAAGAACGUCGGAAUAUGCGAACUAUCUGGGUGACUGGCAGAAAAGGUUUAACUGAAAGGGAAGCAGCAGCCCUUAUAGUGGAAGAAGCCAGAAUGAUUCUGCAGCAGGACUUAGUUGAAAUGGGAGUGCAAUGGAAUCCCUGUGCCCUGUUACAUUCUAGUACAUGUUCAUUGACUCACAGUGAGUCAGAAGUAAAGGAACACACAUUUAUAUCCCAAACUAAGAGUUCUUAUAAAAAAUUAACAUCAAAGAACAAAAGUAACACAAUAUUUAGUGAUUCUUACAUUAAGCAUUCACCAAAUAUAGUGCAAGACUUAAAUAAAAGUAGAGAGCAUACAAGUUCCUUUAAUUGUAAUUUCCAGGAUGGGAAUCAAGAACAUCAGAGACAUUCCAUUUUCAGAGCAAAAAAACGGGCCUCUUUGGAUAUAAAUAAAGAGAAGCCAGGAGCCUCUCAGAAUGCGGGGAAAACAAGCAAUAAGAAAGUUGUUAAGACUUUUUCAGAGAAAACAAAAAAGGUACCUUUGGAUUUCAAUUCAGAAAAGAUGAGCAGAAGUUUUCGAUCUUGGAAACAUAGAAAGCAUCUAAAGCAAUCUAGGGACAGCAGCCCCCUGAAAGACUCUGGAGCAUGUAGAAUCCAUUUACAGGGACAGACUCUGUCUAAUCCUAGUCUUUGUGAAGACCCAUUUACCUUAGAUGAGAAGAAUACGGAAUUUAGAAAUUCAGGGCCAUUUGAUAAAAAUGUAUCUUUGAGUGGUAAGGAAAAAGAUAACAAAAUAUCAUUCCCAUUACAAAUAAAGCAAAGUUGUUCACAGAACAUAACACUAACUAAUGACAAUUUUGUGGAAGACAUUGUCACAGGAUCUCAGAGUAAAAAUGUGACUUGUCAGGCCACUGGUGUGGUUGGUGAAAAGGGCAGAGGAGUAGCUGUUGAGGCAGAAAAAAUAAAUGAAGUGCUGAUACAAAAUGAUUCAAAAAACCAGAAUGUUUAUGUGAAACACUGUGACACCGAUCCAAUUAACCAGUACCCGCAAAAGCAAUCUCAUGAACAGACAAGCACUUUUACCCAACAGAAAAAUAUAAUAGAGAGACAAAUGCCCUGUGAAGCAGUCAGUAGUUACAUAAAUAGAGACUCAAAUGUUACUAUUAAUUGUGAAAGGAUAAAGCUUAAUACGGAGGAAAAUAAACCAAGUCAUUUUCAGGCAUUAGGAGAUGAUAUAAGCAGAACUGCAAUACCCAGUGAAGUAUUUCCAUCAACUGAAGCAUUUAGCAAAUCAGGAGGCCAGCAUGAGAAUUUUCUAAAUAUUUCUAGACUACAAGAAAAAACGGGUACUUACACAACAAACAAAACUAGAAAUAAUCAUAUUUCUGACUGUGAUUUUGAAGAUAGUUUCUACCUGGAUACUCAGUCAGAGAAAAUAAUGCAACAGAUGGCAACUGAAAGUACCAAACUAGGAGCAAAGGACACCAACCUGGCAGCAGGGAUAAUGCAGAAGAGCGUAGUCCAACAGAACUUGAUGAACUCUUUUCAGAAAGAGUGUCACAUUCCUUUUCCUGCUAAGCAGCAUCCUCUAGGAGUGACUAAGAUAGAUCAUUUGGAUCUUAAGACUGUAGGUACUAUGAAACAAAGCACUGAUUCGCAUGGGGUUGAUAUCCUGACUCCAGAAAGCCCAAUUUUCCAUUCUCCAAUACUAUUGGAGGAAAAUGGUCUUUGUUUUAAAAAGAAUGAACUUUCUGUUACUGAUUCUCAAUUAAAUAGUUUUCUUCAAGGUUAUCAAACACAAGAAACUGUGAAACCAGUUAUACCUCUGAUUCCUCAAAAGAGAACUCCCACUGGUAUAGAAGGAGAAUGUCUUCCAGUUCCUGAAACAAGUUUGAAUAUGAGUGACAGUUUACUCUUUGAUAGUUUCAGUGAUGACUAUCUAGUAAAAGAACAAUUACCUGAUGUGCAAACGAAAGAACCCCUUCCUUCAGAAGUAACAUCACACCAUUUUAGUGAUUCUCUGUGUCUACAACAAGAAGACCUAAUUAAAAAAUCAAAUGUAAAUGAGAAUCAAGAUACCUGCCAGCAGUUGACUUUUUCCAAUGAUGAAUCUGUUAUAUUUUCAGAAAUGGAUUCUGUUCAGAUGGUUGAAGCUUUGGACAAUGCGGAUAUAUUUCCUGUUCAAGAGAAGCAUCAUACUGUAGUAUAUCCUAGAGCAUUAGAACUAAAUGAUCCAGUACUUGAUGAGCACCACCAAGGUGAUCAAGAUGGAGGAGAUCAAGAUGAAAGGGCUGAAAAAUCAAAAUUAACUGGGACCAGGCAAAAUCAUUCAUUCAUAUGGUCAGGGGCAUCAUUUGAUCUAAGUCCAGGACUGCAAAGGAUUUUAGAUAAAGUGUCCAGUCCACUAGAAAAUGAAAACCUAAAAUCAGUGACUAUAAACUU